AGCAGAGGCGAUAGCACGUUGAAUACAAAAGUUCCCAAUGGAUCACUAGAGUUAACCAACGUUUCGCGUGGUUAAUACAUAGAUGGGUGACCUUGGCAAUCGGGUGCUGCUGGCU
rnacentral:rRNA from 1 species